rnacentral:rRNA from 1 species
GACGAACGCUGGCGGCGUGCUUAACACAUGCAAGUCGAACGGAAAGGCCCUGCUUUUGUGGGGUGCUCGAGUGGCGAACGGGUGAGUAACACGUGAGUAACCUGCCCUUGACUUUGGGAUAACUUCAGGAAACUGGGGCUAAUACCGGAUAGGAGCUCCUGCUGCAUGGUGGGGGUUGGAAAGUUUCGGCGGUUGGGGAUGGACUCGCGGCUUAUCAGCUUGUUGGUGGGGUAGUGGCUUACCAAGGCUUUGACGGGUAGCCGGCCUGAGAGGGUGACCGGCCACAUUGGGACUGAGAUACGGCCCAGACUCCUACGGGAGGCAGCAGUGGGGAAUAUUGCACAAUGGGCGGAAGCCUGAUGCAGCAACGCCGCGUGCGGGAUGACGGCCUUCGGGUUGUAAACCGCUUUCGCCUGUGACGAAGCGUGAGUGACGGUAAUGGGUAAAGAAGCACCGGCUAACUACGUGCCAGCAGCCGCGGUGAUACGUAGGGUGCGAGCGUUGUCCGGAUUUAUUGGGCGUAAAGGGCUCGUAGGUGGUUGAUCGCGUCGGAAGUGUAAUCUUGGGGCUUAACCCUGAGCGUGCUUUCGAUACGGGUUGACUUGAGGAAGGUAGGGGAGAAUGAAAUUCCUGGUGGAGCGGUGGAAUGCGCAGAUAUCAGGAGGAACACCAGUGGCGAAGGCGGUUCUCUGGGCCUUUCCUGACGCUGAGGAGCGAAAGCGUGGGGAGCGAACAGGCUUAGAUACCCUGGUAGUCCACGCUGUAAACGGUGGGUACUAGGUGUGGGGUCCAUUCCACGGGUUCCGUGCCGUAGCUAACGCUUUAAGUACCCCGCCUGGGGAGUACGGCCGCAAGGCUAAAACUCAAAGGAAUUGACGGGGCCCCGCACAAGCGGCGGAGCAUGCGGAUUAAUUCGAUGCAACGCGUAGAACCUUACCUGGGUUUGACAUGGAUCGGGAGUGCUCAGAGAUGGGUGUGCCUCUUUUGGGGUCGGUUCACAGGUGGUGCAUGCCUGUCGUCAGCUCGUGUCGUGAGAUGUUGGGUUAAGUCCCGCAACGAGCGCAACCCUUGUUCACUGUUGCCAGCACGUUAUGGUGGGGACUCAGUGGAGACCGCCGGGGUCAACUCGGAGGAAGGUGGGGAUGACGUCAAGUCAUCAUGCCCCUUAUGUCCAGGGCUUCACGCAUGCUACAAUGGCUGGUACAGAGAGUGGCGAGCCUGUGAGGGUGAGCGAAUCUCGGAAAGCCGGUCUCAGUUCGGAUUGGGGUCUGCAACUCGACCUCAUGAAGUCGGAGUCGCUAGUAAUCGCAGAUCAGCAACGCUGCGGUGAAUACGUUCCCGGGGCU